GCCAGUAGGGUAGACCCAUGUUGGUCUCUGUGGCCAGUGGGAUCCUCAUCUGAGGCUCUGGUCACCAGCUGCAGGAGCUUGAGGCAGUUAAAGUGGUAUCAAUGAUGGUAAUGGGCACAAGCUGCUUCCUGACCACUGGAUUUUAGCUACAGUCAUGUUAACCUGAACCAACUUGUCUUAGCUCUCUGAAGGAUCUUGAGAAAUGGCAAGAUACUGUCUGGAGUUGACAUGAGAAAUCCCACCUUCCCUGACUUUAAAGCAGGAAGAGUAUCACUAGCAGGUAAAUGAAAAGCCUGAAGGAAAUUGAAGAAGAAAAAGAAAGUGGGGGUCAGGAGAGGAAGAAAAGAUAAAAGAAUGUUAAACUAAUAUAUCCAGAAUUAAUCGUGGAGCACUUUGGACCUUAUUUUCAAAUCAUAAUAGGCAAAUGAAACAUAUUAACAGUUAUAGGCACCCAAUUAUGACCACCUCCAUCAGCCAAAAUGGAUAAUCCUGGAAUUAAAUAAGAAGUACAAUGGGCAGCCUGCAUUGUAUUUGAAAAUUGGAGGACUUCUCUAAAACUUGUGUAGAAAUAGACUGCAACCCCAGCUCUCCAAGUCGUACUUGGCACACGUUGAGCAGUCACCUCAGAGUUUGGAUAAAGCUGCCUAAUA